UGGAAGUGAUGAAAUAGAGAUAAUUGGAUGUCUCUCUGAAUGGAGUGUGUGUGAUAAAUGGAAUUUAAGUCUUAACUGGGGGUGGGGCAUAAGGGGGGGGUGUGUGUGGGCACAUGUAUAGAAAAGGCUUGAAUCGGGGGCACUGAAUGCGGUGCUGAUUCCGGAGUGCAUCUGAGGCAUGUUGCUGAGUUCUGAGGUGCCACUUUACAACAUUGCCAAUGAUUAAAGCCCAAAGCAAGCCCACCGAGACAAGCCUGGGCAUCCUAAAUCUCGAGAGGGUCACUCAUGUAAGUGAUCCUUUGAUCUGAUCUGA
rnacentral:snoRNA from 1 species